rnacentral:tRNA from 1 species
AGGGUAAUAGCUCAGUGGUAGAGCACAUGUUUAGCAUGCAUGAGGUCCUGGGUUCAGUCCCCAGUACCUCCA